AUAAUAUGGUUCGUCGGUCUAUCGAGCAACUAUACCGGCUCGAUGGAAGAUCUUCCUUUGUCAU
rnacentral:pre_miRNA from 1 species